CCACCGCCCGUCACAUCACGAAAGUCGGCUGCACUUGAAGUCGUCUUGCCAACCCGCAAGGGGGGCGGGCGCCGAUGGUGUGGUCGAUGAUUGGGGUG
rnacentral:rRNA from 1 species